rnacentral:rRNA from 1 species
UUUAAAUUGAGAGUUUGAUCCUGGCUCAGGACGAACGCUGGCGGCGUGCCUAACACAUGCAAGUCGAGCGAUGAAACUUCCUUCGGGAAGUGGAUUAGCGGCGGACGGGUGAGUAACACGUGGGUAACCUGCCUCAAAGAGGGGGAUAGCCUCCCGAAAGGGAGAUUAAUACCGCAUAACAUUAUUUUAUGGCAUCAUAGAAUAAUCAAAGGAGCAAUCCGCUUUGAGAUGGACCCGCGGCGCAUUAGCUAGUUGGUGAGGUAAGGGCUCACCAAGGCGACGAUGCGUAGCCGACCUGAGAGGGUGAUCGGCCAC